rnacentral:rRNA from 1 species
UACGUAGGGUGCAAGCGUUUGUCCGGAAUUAUUGGGCGUAAAGAGCUCGUAGGCGGUUUGUCGCGUCUGCUGUGAAAACCCGAGGCUCAACCUCGGGCCUGCAGUGGGUACGGGCAGACUAGAGUUCGGUAGGGGAGACUGGAAUUCCUGGUGUAGCGGUGAAAUGCGCAGAUAUCAGGAGGAACACCGGUGGCGAAGGCGGCUAUCUGGCCCGUAAUUGACGCUGAGGCGCGAAAGCGUGGGGAGCAAACAGG